AGCUCGGACCCAUGCGAUUGCAACGCCCAAAUCUUGUCAGGGCCGGAAGGUAGCAGCAACACGGGAUGCUUGCAAUAGGCGUGGACUCCGAGCCCCU
rfam:Cyanobacterium endosymbiont of Epithemia turgida isolate EtSB Lake Yunoko DNA, complete genome.